rnacentral:tRNA from 1 species
GGGGCUGUAGCUCGGUGGUAGAGCUUCGCCCAGCACGUGAGCGGCCCUGGGUUCCAUCCUCAGCACCACA